GAUGAACGCUGGCGGCGUGCCUAAUACAUGCAAGUAGAACGCUGAAGAGAGGAGCUUGCUCUUCUUGGAUGAGUUGCGAACGGGUGAGUAACGCGUAGGUAACCUGCCUGGUAGCGGGGGAUAACUAUUGGAAACGAUAGCUAAUACCGCAUAAAAGUCGACAUCGCAUGAUGUUGACUUGAAAGGUGCAAUUGCAUCACUAAGAGAUGGACCUGCGUUGUAUUAGCUAGUUGGUGAGGUAACGGCUCACCAAGGCGACGAUACAUAGCCGACCUGAGAGGGUGAUCGGCCACACUGGGACUGAGACACGGCCCAGACUCCUACGGGAGGCAGCAGUAGGGAAUCUUCGGCAAUGGGGGGAACCCUGACCGAGCAACGCCGCGUGAGUGAAGAAGGUUUUCGGAUCGUAAAGCUCUGUUGUAAGAGAAGAACGGGUGUGAGAGUGGAAAGUUCACACUGUG
rnacentral:rRNA from 1 species